rnacentral:snRNA from 1 species
AUACUUAGCUGGCAGGGAGACCCUAUGAUCAUGAAGAAGGUCUUCCCUAGGGAGGCUCAUCCAUUGCAAUCCAGAUGUGAUGACCCCCAUGACUUCCUCAAAUGGGAAACUUGAAUGCAUAAUUUGUGGUUGUGGAGAACUGAGUUCUUGCUCUCCC